UGCUCCAGUAAAACUAUUUACAAAAGCGGGCAACUGGCCAGAUUUGGCUCGUGAGUGGUGUGCAGACCCCUUGUCUAGUGAAUUAGAAUCAAACGUGAAUUGUGUGUGUGUGUGUGUGUGUGUGUGUGUGUGUGUGUGAGAUUUACCCGGAUCUUCUUAAAGGCCUAGUGUGCUGUGUGUGUAACAAGCUCCCCGAUGUAUGCCAAGGAGGAUGCCACUCUUCCUCCACACUUUGAGUAUCCAGGGGUUAGAACAGACAAGCCCAGUUGGGUGUGAUUAUGGAAGGGCACUUAAUGAGCUUGUGGGACCAUGGAAAGCCUGAGUUGAUAUUCUCCAAAUGGUCUCCUGGGGGAUGAAUCAAAAUUAACCAGUGGAAGCAUGGGGAGGGUGUCCCGAUGGAGGCAGCAAUGAACGAUGUAAGAGAAGUCACAAGAAGACAGGCAUAUGAUUUCACUGAGGCACUAGGGCAAUCAAACUCAGAAACAGGUAGAAUGCUUGUUGUGGGAGGAUCCAGGGAGGGGAGAGAGGCACUGGGGUGCAGUUUCAAUUUUGUAAGAAAAACAGUUCUGGAGAUCUUCCUUACAGCAGUGUAGGCAUACAUAGCCCUGCUGAACUGUACACAGAAUGGUUAAGGUGAUAAGUUUCAUGUGAUGCAUAUUCCACUCCAAUCAAGAAAUUUCUAAACAAAAGACAGAAAGCUGCACGUGGUGCCACACAGUACGCAGGAACAGAGCAGUCAGAGGCGGGAAAGGACAUGGAGUUGGACGAGCUGCCUGGCCUGGCAUGCUCAGGAACCUGGGACGGUCCCCUUUACACCGUGGGAAUAUUGGAAGACUUCCCGAGGAGUAUUCCUCAUGGCUGACAAGUCCUCAGAGUUCAUGGGAAAUGGGUUUGCUCUUGGUCCUGUCCCUAUUAUCUUGACUGCUGUCUUAGUCAUAUUCUGACCCCCUUUCACGUGUUCAAGUCUGCCCCUGCUUCCUGCAUGUGAGGUAGCGUCAGGGCCUUAUGGAGUAAAAUGAACAUGAGAGAUCAUUGAGGACUGAUUGACAUCCUAGAUCUGCACUUAACCAGCUGUGAGGACGUGGUCAGCCAGCUUCACAUGUCUUAGAAAAGGGGACAAAUACAUUACAGCCUUUUUGAGAAAUGAAUGAGAUAACGUAUACAAACCUGCUUCAUACAGUACACGUGCUAUUCUCUGAAAUGCAGUGGCAUCAUUAUCCCAGGCCUCUGCUGUCGGGGGGGAGGUUGGCGAGGCCUUGCUGCUACAAAGCCCCUCAGACUGCUGUGGAUUCUAGGCUUCCUUUGUGCUGGAGCAAGAAGUGCUUUCCCGGGAAGGAAAGGGAGGUGGGCCAGCCCUGCUGGGUACAAGUGCGAAUGGGAACCAGGGAAGGAGUGGUAUUUGGGGAGGGAGGCAACCAUGAUGUUUUUGCACUUGAAGGUCAUUUCCUUUCCACCGGGAGCGCCAGAAAUCACAGGCAGCAGAUGCUUGCUCUGCAUCUGCGGACAAGAGGAUGAAACCAGGGAUGGUGAAGAGCUGGCUCUAAUUACUUCCAGACACUUGGAUGAGUCCAUGAGGGUCAAGACCAAGCUCGAUGAACACAGAGCUGCACAAUAGAGGCACAAUCUGCAGACGCUGCGGCCUCUCUGAUUGGAUUUGGCGAUCUGCAAACCUGGGUAAAUAGCCCCUUACCUGUGCCCUUGGUAAGGAACCACUCUGCCCCUGUACCUACUGGAAGGUUAACUGUGAUGUAGCAAAAAGUCUACAUUUCGUAUCUUGCCAUUAGGGAGGAUAGACCUUAUUAACAAAAGCAGAAAACUUGUGGUGUUUAUAGCCUUUGCCAAUACUCACAUGGAGUCCAAAUUCAACAAAGUGAUGGCAAGCCAGUACCUUUCCAGCUUCAAGCGGCUGUGUCCAAAGUUCGCCUUCUGUUAUCCAUAACCACAAAGGGUUCUUUCAAGAUAGCGAGGGCGCCUUUCCUGAAGGCUUCGUAUGUUUCUAGGAGCAUCACGUGGGCUUGGUUGGCAGGACUCUCACCUGGGGAUACACAUAUUAGGGAGAUGGUUUUGUAGACAUCCGGGGGCUUCGUCUAGCUGCUCUUUCCUGCUUCUGUAUUUGGGCGCAUGCUCCUCUUUCCACCAGGCAGAUUACCUGCCUUCAGCUGGGCAUCGGUGGGCACCCUCUAUCUGGCAGGGCCAAUUCAAGUUCCACCUUCUCCAUGGAGUUUAUCUGAUUGUGCCAGUCAAAAUGCUCCCUUUCCUCAGAAUUACUUACACUGCCUCUCAGAUAAGUAUGUGUGUGUAGAUAGAUAGAUACAUAGAUAUAUGGAUGGAUGGGUGGAUAAAUGGAUGAUAGACAAAUAAAUGAUAGAUAAUAGAUAUAGUCUUCAGUAAGAGUAUACUUCUUCAAGGGCAAGGAAUAUAUCCUGUAUCUCUGGUUCUCAUUAUAUCCCUAUGUCUCCUCAACUUUCCCAUAUACAGGGUGGGACAAAAGUAGAUUUACAGUUGUUUGUAUGGAAAAUAAUACAAUAAUUAAUAAAUAAAAUAAGAAUAAACUGUGUUUCUGAUACAACUGUAAAGCUACUUUUCCCCCUACUUGUAUAUACCUAGUGCAUAGGUACAAAAUAAAUACUGAAGCUCAUCUAAGUAAAGAUUUUUAACUUUUAGGAGGUAAAAUGUGUGAAUAAAUUCAGUAAAAAGAAUUUGCUGGAAAUAAGAUGUAGAGAAGGACAAGGGGGAGACAAAUUUUCUUUUUAGGACCUUAUGUCUUUAUUCAACAUCAAAUGUCAACUGAAAGAAGUUUGUUUUUAUAUUUCCUAUGCCAAAAUCCACACGGUUUUGUAACAGUACUGUUUGCAGCCUAAGUGUGUGGGCUAUAAGGUUCUAAAGCUGUGCAUUUUUAAAGAAAAUCAGUCCUGAUUUGAAAA